CUGCGAGUAUCGAAACAAGCGAAAGAUAUAUGACGGGUGGAGAGAUUUCAUCCAUGACGGGGGUAUUCAAGAAGGAGACGUUUUGGUCGUUCUGAUCACCUACAGUAAUUUCAGAUCUGUCUUCUUAGAUGUUAACCAUGUAAUCUACGUGUGAAGUAUUUUUCAGGUUAUGGAAUGAUUUGAAUGUCUUUUAUAAUUCCCCUUUUAUUUAUGAAUGAAAGUGAUAUCUCUACUCCUACUUCCCC
rnacentral:lncRNA from 1 species